ensembl:snRNA Gm24128 predicted gene, 24128
UUGCUUCUAUAGCACAAACACUAAAUUAAAACAAUACAGAGAUUAUUGUGGUCCCUGUACAAGGGUAACCCACAAAGUUGGGAAGCAUUUCAUAUAUUU